rnacentral:rRNA from 1 species
UACGGGGGGGCAAGCGUUGUUCGGAAUUACUGGGCGUAAAGGGCUCGUAGGCGGCCAACUAAGUCAGACGUGAAAUCCCUCGGCUUAACCGGGGAACUGCGUCUGAUACUGGAUGGCUUGAGGUUGGGAGAGGGAUGCGGAAUUCCAGGUGUAGCGGUGAAAUGCGUAGAUAUCUGGAGGAACACCGGUGGCGAAGGCGGCGAUCCUGGACCAAUUCUGACGCUGAGGAGCGAAAGCCAGGGGAGCAAACGGGG